GUCUUGCCUGUCUGAUGGCUGUCGGUCUGUCGCUAUUCUCUCCCCCCUGCGGUGGUAGUGUACUUCCCAUACUCUGAUACCUAUACAUAUAUGUAUACACUGUAGAGAGUAUAGUGGUUUGGUUUGGUUUGCUGUGUGUGCUCCAGUGCUCCGAUUUGGCUGCAUCAGGCAUGCAGUGGUGUGUACUGUAUAGUAUAGUAUAGAGUGAAAUACCUAGACCUAGAGUAGAGAGUGGCGGUGCAGUGUUUGCGCGGCAGUUGCGUCGUCGUAGUGCCGUGUUCUUGAGAGAGUGUCGGCUAGUACUCCAGUGGUAGCUCCAUGCAUCAGGAGUCAGGACCCGAGGGACUGCUUCAGUUAAAGGACGAGAAGGCAGUGAGGCGAGGACGCGCGACGGGUUGUUGCGCCGCGACGCGCGCGUGUGGAUGUAUGUUGAUGCCCUGUGUGUGCGAUUGUAUACAACAUCUCCUCGUUGUGCCGACGACGACGACGACGGCGGUGGCGAAGCGUUGCCCGUGCAGCUCCACUUUGUCCGUAUGAUUUUUUUCUCUUAGCGAAGAAACGAGAUAGAGACGAGCCAGAGGAGCGAAAAGCGAAAGGUGGUGUGCGUAGGCGCGCGCGAGAGAGAAAGACUCAGCCACCGAGAUAGCAGUAGGUAACAGCUACUCUCUCGCUGCACCAGAGAGCUGCGGUGCCGAGGAACAAAUAUAACAUCAUCGCCAGUUAAAGCCCCGCUCCUUCGAGAUUCAACAGGCGACUGCGGCGCGAGGCACCAAGAUCUCGCCCGGCUUCAAACUAUACACAGGGG